GAACGGGUGCAGCAAUGCACUAGUGGCGCACGGGUGCGUAACGCGUAACCAACCUGCCCUUGACUGGGGGAUAGCCCGCCGAAAGGCGGAUUAAUACCGCAUAACAUGCGAGACCGGCAUCGGUUUUUCAUUAAAGAUUUAUUGGUCAAGGAUGGGGUUGCGUGCCAUUAGCUGGUUGGCGGGGUAACGGCCCACCAAGGCGACGAUGGCUAGGGGAGCUGAGAGGCUGGUCCCCCACACGGGCACUGAGAUACGGGCCCGACUCCUACGGGAGGCAGCAGUAGGGAAUAUUGGGCAAUGGGAGCAAUCCUGACCCAGCCAUGCCGCGUGCCGGAUGAAGGCCUUCUGGGUCGUAAACGGCUUUUGUCGGGGAAGAAUAAGGCGUAUGCGUACGCUGAUGACGGUACCCGGCGAAUAAGCACCGGCUAACUCCGUG
rnacentral:rRNA from 1 species